rnacentral:rRNA from 1 species
GACGAACGCUGGCGGCGUGCUUAACACAUGCAAGUCGAACGGUAAGGCCCUGCGUUUGGGGUGUGCUGGGGUGGCGUACGGAAGAGUUACACGUGAUUCACCUGCCCUUGGCUUUGGUAUAACUUCUUGGAACUAGUACUAAUAGUUGAUAGCUGCUCCUGCUGCAGGGUGUGGGUUGGAUAUUUUGGGCGGUUGGGGAUGGGCCCGCGGCUUAUCAGUUUGUUGGUGGGGUAGUGGCCUACCAAGGCCUUGACGGGUAGCCGGCCUGAGAGGGUGACCGGCCACAUUGGGACUGAGAUACGGCCCAGACUCCUACGGGAGGCAGCAGUGGGGAAUAUUGCACAAUGGGCGGAAGCCUGAUGCAGCAACGCCGCGUGCGGGAUGACGGCCUUCGGGUUGUAAACCGCUUUCGCCUGUGACGAAGCGCAAGUGACGGUAAUGGCAGAAGAAGCACCGGCUAACUACGUG